AGACAUGGGCGACAGGGGUCCAAGUGCAGUAUCUCUUCUUAUCGGCUUAAUAUAUAAUAGCAGUUCUAUUUGGACCCAAUAUAUUAAACUUAUUUUUGCAAGUUGGAGGAGUGCUUGUAACCUGCUUGACCUCCGCCGCAGGUCGGCCCGAUGUUGCACUAUCUCCGGGAUCGACCCCACGGUU